CAAAGGGAAUACGUGUUGACUCGUCCAAUUAUGAUCCUUUUGUUGGGUGGACUCAUGGAGCUCAAAUGGUAGCAUUUAAUAUGCAGGUUGGUCUUCUGUCUCUGAUACUGUGGAAAACAAACUAGAACUGGGUAUUAUGAAGCUAGAUUGAAAGAAUACUCGUGUGAUUUUAGUUCUCCUCUCCUUGUUGAUCAUUGCUUGUCUCCGAUCCUGUAGAAAACAAACUAGAACUGGGCAUUAUGAAGCUAGAUUGAAAGAAUAAAUUCUCAUGUGAUUUUAGUUCUCCUCUCCUUGGUUUAUCAUUGCUGGUAUUACAUUAAUAUAGAUUCCAAACAUGGCCUUUUCCCUCUUGAAGAUUAUUUUCCUAUUAUCUCGAUGAAACAUUUGAUUCUUAGAGGAAAACGGUGGUAGUGAUCCUUCCUUAUUUUUUCCGAAGUGUAAUAAUAUUAUAAUAACUACGUAUAAUUUUAUUUUAUAGUCGUUUUAUUUCUUACCAGUAAUUCAAAUAGCUAUGUUGUGUGGAUCUAGAACUUAGACGUUGUGGGUGUUGAUUGAGAGAGCAGGUCCUCCAAAGUAUGUGUAACUUUAUAUGUACUUGUUUUUUCCGAAGUGUAAUAAUAUUAUAAUAACUACGUAUAAUUUUAUUUUUAGUCGUUCUAUUUCUUACCAGUAAUUCAAAUAGCUAUGUUGUGUGGAUCUAGAACUUACACGUUGUGAGUGUUGAUUGAGAGAGUAGGUCCUCCAAUGUAUGUGUAACUUUAUAUGUACUUGUUUUUUGUACAUAUAUGUAAGCUUUGACCACGAAGCACUAGGUUUUACUGAACCUGCAAACCUAUUAUUGAAUCUGCCACUCUCUCCAUCCUUCUAAUUUUUUAGCCGAUAAAAGAAAUCUUUGAUUAAAAUUCUUUGGAUUAUGUUGAAGGCUGUAACACAUGAAUUAUGACCUGAUUGGUGUUGUCAUUCAUCCUGUAUUCCUUUUAGUAAUU
rnacentral:lncRNA from 1 species